rnacentral:lncRNA from 1 species
AGAUUUAUAAACAAAAGAGGAUGUUACAAUCGACACCACUCUAUUGACAGAGCUGAUUAAACGAGUUAAGCUUAUUUAAUUAAAAUAGACAAAAUGAGCUCAUCUAAAUUUUUUUUGAUGAAGAUAAAUUAGGUUAAUGAAAUGAAAAGUACCAAACAUGCCUUGAACUUCUCCUCCCGGAAUGCAAACUGUAGAAAACAUAUCUGUAUAUAAUACCUGAGAAAACAUCUAGUACGCAGAGACAUAUAUGCGCUAUCGUGCGUUGAGACCUCGACCUUCUAAUAUUUUCUAUCCAAGGGUUUAGAAUCUGUCGAUCCGUUAAUACUAUUUAUCAUUAUUGCUUUUUCCAUCUGCACCAUAGGAAUUGAUAAAAUGCAAUCAGGUUGGAAACAUUUGGAAAAUCUUCUUUAUCUAAAAUCUUUUAGUUUAGACUUUGCAAUCUUUUAUUUAUUUACUUACGCGUAUGGUGCAGUUCUCGUCGGCGUUUUGGUGAGAUCCAGCCGUCCAUCCACGUCGUCGUACACUCCUCAUGUUCUUAUCUGAUACAAUUCAUUUUUACUGUACCCAUGAAGUUCACGGCGGCGGCAAGAUGCGGUUCGUCGUCGGAUGUGAACCGCACCAGUGUAUUCAUUUAUUUACAUUUGCAUUGUAAAAUAUAAAAAAGGUAUUUUGAAAUACCUUCGUAUUUGUAUACGUAUAUUUCUGUAUUUGUAUCACCAGUAUUGAACUCAAGAUUAAUAGGUUUAACCAUAUUAUUAUACCAAUCGACCAUCGAG